CCUCCGGGUGACGGAGCGCGCAGAAGGGUUUGGUGAGGCGGAGGAGGGGUGGGGAGCGCUGCCAGCUCUGAACGUCCGGCCCAGUGAACCCUCCAACAAGCAGCCUUUCCAGGGUUGUCGAGAAAAAGGUGCAAUCAGCGAGGUUGAAAAGGCUAGUGACACCAGCCUUAUGGAUUAUGAAAACGUAAGUACAAAGGCUAGGUGGAUUUGGAGAUGGCGGGUAGAAUGAACUGAGUUGGCUAAAAUUUGUUUUUAUAUAAGAACUUCAUGUCAACUGAUGAGCAACUGUUAAUUAGGUUCCUCUCCCUCUCUCUCUCUCUGUCCACCUAUGUUCCCGCAUCAGAAAUUCCCCCCUUAAGUCUUCUGAGAUUGUGCAGUGACUAUAAUGUGGGCUCCCAGCUCCAGCUAACUUGGUCAAGUACAAGCCCCAGGCACAAGCUGGGAUGUGGGGAGUCACCGGUUGGCAGCAACCUCUGAUGUAUGUGGCCUGAUUCAAAAUGAUGAGAGACUCAAGUGAAACUCCCAGCUGGUAGCAGGACAGAAGGAAGCAGAUCCAUGGAGUGGAGUCAAGUCAACUUAGUGAUAAAGGUCUAGACUAGAAUGAGUGUGAUGGUUAGCUUGGCCGAAGUCCUUCAGCUGCCUUGGGUCCAGCAGGUUCACUGAGGGAGGGCCGGCCAUGUCACUGCUCUUGUUUGAGGUUAAUUUUUCUUACUGUUAUCCCUUUGUAUUUAAAUAGCUUCAGUGGGUCUAUAUGUCUUACAAUCAAACAAUUCUAAAUUUGAAUAACUACUUAAAAAGUGAUUUUCUGAGCUCAGCAAGAUGAAUGCAGCAAAGUGAAAUAUGAUCAUGAUUUUAAAUAAAUUAAUAAUAGAGUUGUAGAAAUGAAACACAAAUGUUAGAAAGAUGACUUCUUAAAACUGUAUAGUAUAAAGAGAUUACAUGAAUUUUUGAGAUGUGGGGCUGAGGGUUUUGGCAGGAAAGAGAUGGCAUAUUCAAAAGGUUAAUUCCAGGAUCUUUAAUAAUAAAUUAAAAAAAUAAACAAAGAAUGUUGAGUGAAAACUUUUGAGGUAAUGAAUAUGAUCAUUGUAUUAAUUAUGGUGAUAGUUUGACAGUGUAUAUUAUCAAAAUCAGCAAAUUGUGCACUUUAAAUAUAUGCAGAUUAUUGAAUGUGUUAUGCCUCAAUAAAGCUAAAAAAGAGUUUAA